rnacentral:rRNA from 1 species
CCUACGGGUGGCAGCAGUGAGGAAUAUUGGUCAAUGGGCGGAAGCCUGAACCAGCCAAGUAGCGUGCAGGAUGACGGCCCUGCGGGUUGUAAACUGCUUUUAUACGGGAAUAACGCGCCUUACGUGUAGGGCUUUGCAUGUACCGUAUGAAUAAGGACCGGCUAAUUCCGUGCCAGCAGCCGCGGUAAUACGGAAGGUCCGGGCGUUAUCCGGAUUUAAUGGGUUUAAAGGGAGUGUAGGCCGCAUGUCAAGCGUGCUGUGAAAUGUCCGGGCUCAACCCGGGCCUUGCAGCGGACACUGGCGUGCUUGAGUCCGCGGAAAGCAGGCGGAAUGCGUCGUGUAGCGGUGAAAUGCUUAGAUAUGACGAAGAACCCCGAUUGCGAAGGCAGCUUGCUGCAGCGGAACUGACGCUGAUGCUCGAAAGCGCGGGUAUCGAACAGGAUUAGAUACCCCUGUAGUC